AGUGAACGCUGGCGGUAGGCCUAACACAUGCAAGUCGAACGGCAGCACAGAGGAGCUUGCUCCUUGGGUGGCGAGUGGCGGACGGGUGAGGAAUACAUCGGAAUCUACUCUGUCGUGGGGAUAACGUAGGGAAACUUACGCUAAUACCGCAUACGACCUACGGGUGAAAGCAGGGGAUCUUCGGACCUUGCGCGAUUGAAUGAGCCGAUGUCGGAUUAGCUAGUUGGCGGGGUAAAGGCACACCAAGGCGACGAUCCGUAGCUGGUCUGAGAGGAUAAGCAGACACACUGGAACGGAGACACGGUCCAGACUCAUACGGGAGGCAGCAGUGGGGAAUAUUGGACAAUGGGCGCAAGCCUGAUCCAGCCAUACCGCGUGGGUGAAGAAGGCCUUCGGGUUGUAAAGCCCUUUUGAUGGGAAAGAAAUCCAUCUGGUUAAUACCCGGGUGGGAUGACGGUACCCAAAGAAUAAGCACCGGCUAACUUCGUGCCAGCAGCCGCCGUAA
rnacentral:rRNA from 1 species